CCCUUAGAUGUUCUGGGCCGCACGCGUGCUACACUGAUGCAUUCAACGAGCCUAUCCUUGACCGACAGGUCCGGGUAAUCUUUGAAUCUGCAUCGUGACGGGGAUAGAUUAUUGCAAUUAUUAAUCUUCAACGAGGAAUGCCUAGUAGGCGCAAGUCAUCAGCUUGCGUCGAUUACGUCCCUGCCCUUUGUACACACCGCCCGUCGCUCCUACCGAUUGGGUGUGCUGGUGAAAUGUUCGGAUCGGCCGUUUGUCGCGGUUUCCGCGGCUCGUGGCUGAGAAGUUCAUUAAACCCUCCCACCUAGAGGAAGGAGAAGUCGUAACA
rnacentral:rRNA from 1 species